rnacentral:misc_RNA from 1 species
UGGUUCUGGCAUCGAUGAAGAACGCAGCGAAAUGCGAUAAGUAAUGUGAAUUGCAGAAUUCAGUGAAUCAUCGAAUCUUUGAACGCACAUUGCGCCUAUUAGUAUUCUAGUAGGCAUGCCUGUUCGAGCGUCAUUACAACCCUUAAGCUUCAAUGCUUAGUAUUGGGAAUCUACUUACCCGGGAGCUACCCUGUAGCUGCUCUGUAGUUCCUCAAAGUCAGCGGCGGAGUCGCAGACCUCCUCUGAGCUUAGUAGAUCUCUUCUAGCUUCUGAGAGGUGGUGGCCCUAGCCGAAAAACACCCAAUUUUGUAUUGUUGACCUCGGAUCAGGUAGGAAUACCCGCUGA